AUGAUAGAGGUUGCAUUCUUUAUCAGUAUUCCGCCGGAUGCGUCAGGCGCAGGGGAAGACGGGAGAAAGGAAAGAGUGCCGAAAGGGCGGGUCGCCUGUAAGAUCCGGGCCUUGGGCAUGCGGUUAAGAGCCGUAUGACUGUCAUCUGUGAAUGCAGAUGGGGCGCUAUCGGGU
rnacentral:ncRNA from 1 species